GAUUACACACACACACACACACACAACCAUUAUCACCCAGCUAGGCUGCAUGCAAAAAACAAUGACAUAUUUUAAGAUGUCCCAUCAUAAUAAUUUAAAAUUUUUAAGAACGGUUUGUUCAAUAAACUACUUCUACAUUCCCAUCCAUAAUAGUACUGCUUUGUAAAUCUAAUUACAACAAAUUGUUUUCAACAAAUCACCCUGUCAAAAGUUUAUUCUGGUAUGUUUAUAAAAGUAAAAAUAGUAAUAAUCAUCAUACCAUGUAUAAAAAGCUAAUUUAUUCAGUCACUGUGCUGGAUUUACAUAAUUGCUAAUCCUUAAAACCAUCUCAAAAGCAAGAUAUCUUACACAAAUAUUUUCUUACUCAUAAGAAAUUGAUGUUCAGCUGUAAAGUAACUUGUUCAGGCUAACAUCCCUAAGAAAAAAAGUGAUGCUUUUUUUCACUACAGUAUGCCACCUUCUCAUUUUUACAAUUUACUUUCCAAGAGUGCCUAAUUAUAUGGUGUUUUAUCAUCCAUCCCCUUGAUAGCAACCUUCCCCCUUCUUGUCAACACCUCAAAUUAAUUAAUCAAACAUCUACAAUUUUCCAGGCAGUGUGCUAGGCUCUGGGGACCCAGAGGUAAGUAUGACAGUCUUUACCCCUCAGGAACUCAAAUAAAGAGUAGCUAGCACAAGAAGCAAUCUUAUAAACAGAGCUGAGGGGGAAACGGGCACCUCGCUCAGAUUGGAGGCAGAGACGGAAAGAAGUGGGCAAAGAAUGGGAGGGUACUGGUCUGAGGCACUCACUUGAUUGAGCGUGAGGCAAAUGAAGAGGGGAGAAGGUACUCCAGGAAGAGGCAACUGCAUGAAUAAAAGGGAGAAGAAACCUUACAGGAGAUUCACGAAUUUCAAAGAAUGUGGUUGAAUGUGAAGAGGAGACAAAGCUUCCUCCACUAUGAAAAUUCACAAUUCCUGUAAGACCACCCUGGUCCUCUGCCGCGUGGCCUCUAUCUCACAGCAUGCCUCAAACCAACUCAGCACCACAAAAAUCUCAACUUUGAGCAUCCUUAACUUUAUAACCCUUUUGAUAGGCCCUCCCAUUGCAGCAGAGCUUCCGGUCUUACCCAGGAAGUCUACACGCCAGACAUACUUAAGUUCAGACUUCAGCCAGCUGUGCUUGCCUUUGAGCUAGGCCACAGCUGGUUCCUUCUAGACAUGGAAAUCCUUCCAGACAGACAAUAGAAACUUGAACUUACAAACGUUAUGCAUACCUAUUCCAGGGAUAUCCUCACUGACUAGAGGUACUGCCCCCAUCCCACAAAGUACUUAAGAGUACUCACUCUCUUGCAAAAUGUCGACUGUUAAAUGCUCCAUAACUAGGAUUCCUGCUAGUCUUGGUCACCGUUUAAGACAUCCACUUCCCCAUGGCUUGUAAGCAGUAUUGGAGAAAAAAAUCACAAUGCUGCAAAUUGGUGCCAUUGUGUAUUCAUGGUUACUCACUUCAGCUGGGCCUGCAGUAGGGUCAACAAAAUGUUACCGAAGAC
rnacentral:lncRNA from 1 species